rnacentral:tRNA from 1 species
GCCCAGGUGGUGGAAUUGGUAGACACACCAUCUUGAGGGGGUGGCGCCGCAAGGCGUGUGGGUUCGAGUCCCACCCUGGGCA